UACGUAGGAGGCGAGCGUUGUCCGGAGUUACUGGGCGUAAAGCGUGUGUAGGCGGUCCUCUAAGUCGGGUGUGAAAGCCCUGGGCUCAACCCAGGAAGUGCACUCGAAACUGGAGGGCUAGAGUAUCGGAGAGGUUGGUGGAAUUCUCGGUGUAGAGGUGAAAUUCGUAGAUAUCGAGAGGAACACCGGUGGCGAAGGCGGCCAACUGGACGAAUACUGACGCUGAGACACGAAAGCGUGGGGAGCGAACAGG
rnacentral:rRNA from 1 species